rnacentral:lncRNA from 1 species
AGCCUUUACUAUAAAUGGUAUGGCCCAUAGGCCCAUUUCAAUAUCACAUAUAAUUUCAAUGAAAGAAUGCAAACCCAUUUGGGGAGACUACUCAACCCACCAUCCGCUACUCUCCACCCGUACCAACCAACACACCAUGUGGGGAUUAACUCGACCCACCCCGCCAUAACUCUCCACUGGCAGCUUAGCUGCUUUAUCAUAUAACUGGAGGCCUAGCCUCUUUUAAUAACUGGGGCAAAAGCCCUUUU